rnacentral:rRNA from 1 species
AUCGUAACUCCUACGGGAGGCAGCAGUGGGGAAUUUUGGACAAUGGGGGCAACCCUGAUCCAGCAAUGCCGCGUGAGUGAAGAAGGCCUUCGGGUUGUAAAGCUCUUUUGUCAGGGAAGAAACGGUAGUAGCUAAUAUCUAUUACUAAUGACGGUACCUGAAGAAUAAGCACCGGCUAACUACGUGCCAGCAGCCGCGGUAAUACGUAGGGUGCAAGCGUUAAUCGGAAUUACUGGGUGUAAAGCGGGCGCAGGCGGUUGUGUAAGUCAGAUGUGAAAUCCCCGGGCUCAACCUGGGAAUUGCAUUUGAGACUGCACGGCUAGAGUGUAUCAGAGGGGGGUAGAAUUCCGCGUGUAGCAGUGAAACGCGUAGAUAUGUGGAGGAAUACCGAUGGCGAAGGCAGCCCCCUGGGAUAACACUGACGCUCAUGCACGAAAGCGUGGUGAUCAAACAGGAGUAGAAACCCGUGUAGUCCUAGAGC